rnacentral:rRNA from 1 species
UACAGAGGCCUCGAGCGUUGCGCGGAAUUACUGGGCUUAAAGGGUGCGUAGGCCGAUAUGCAAGUGCUUUGUGAAAUCCCAGAGCUUAACUCUGGAACUGCUUGGCAGACUGCAUGUCUUGAGGUCGGUAGGGGUUGCUGGAACGGUUGGUGGAGCGGUGAAAUGCGCAGAUAUCAGGAGGAACACCGGUGGCGAAGGCGGAUCUCUGGGCCUUACCUGACGCUCAGGCGCGAAAGCUAGGGGAGCGAACAGG